rnacentral:rRNA from 1 species
UACGUAGGUGGCGAGCGUUGUCCGGAUUUACUGGGCGUAAAGGGAGCGUAGGCGGAUUUUUAAGUGAGAUGUGAAAUACUCGGGCUCAACUUGAGUGCUGCAUUUCAAACUGGAAGUCUAGAGUGCAGGAGAGGAGAAUGGAAUUCCUAGUGUAGCGGUGAAAUGCGUAGAGAUUAGGAAGAACACCAGUGGCGAAGGCGAUUCUCUGGACUGUAACUGGCGCUGAGGCUCGAAAGCGUGGGGAGCAAACAGG